rnacentral:rRNA from 1 species
AGCGGAGGAAAAGAAACCAACCGGGAUUGCCUUAGUAACGGCGAGUGAAGCGGCAAAAGCUCAAAUUUGAAAUCUGGUACCUUCGGUGCCCGAGUUGUAAUUUGGAGAGGGCAACUUUGGGGCCGUUCCUUGUCUAUGUUCCUUGGAACAGGACGUCAUAGAGGGUGAGAAUCCCGUGUGGCGAGGAGUGCGGUUCUUUGUAAAGUGCCUUCGAAGAGUCGAGUUGUUUGGGAAUGCAGCUCUAAGUGGGUGGUAAAUUCCAUCUAAAGCUAAAUAUUGGCGAGAGACCGAUAGCGAACAAGUACAGUGAUGGAAAGAUGAAAAGAACUUUGAAAAGAGAGUGAAAAAGUACGUGAAAUUGUUGAAAGGGAAGGGCAUUUGAUCAGACAUGGUGUUUUGUGCCCUCUGCUCCUUGUGGGUAGGGGAAUCUCGCAUUUCACUGGGCCAGCAUCAGUUUUGGUGGCAGGAUAAAUCCA